UGGAACAGGGAAGUGGUUCAAACAGUUUGAAAUCCCUGACAAAUCUGUCGACAUACCUCCACUGACUUCUUUAUCAAUGUGAUUUCUCUCAGAGAGGAACAUUAAGAUCGCACUGAAGGAACGUCGGUAAACAUGACGAGGACUCUGGGAUUUUUGAACGAGACAUAUCAGCAAACUUAAGGACUACAAAUAUGGAUACUCUUGUAGUUUCAAGUGUGUUCUGGGGGACUUCCACUGACUCACUCUCCCACAAAAACCAUCUUUAUUUUCUGGUCUUCAAAGGAGGAAGUGGACACUGAAUGAUGAUCAUACAAUGAGGAAUCAAACUUAUGAAACAAACUGGUGUGAACACAAAUGAUCAGAAAUCUUUAAAACCAGGACUGCAGUUAAAGCAGCUCGGCUGAAGUGAAGUGAAGCAGAUGUGAUCACAAAAAAAGUGAAAAAAGACUUUAAAUAUCAUGGAUGAGACGAAGACACAAAGUUACAUCAAACAUCAAGAUGAAGACACAAUGAAAGUGUUUCCCAGUCACUUCUGUCAUGGGAACAUUCAACAACGUCUGGAUUUGUGGCCACAUUUUCUUCAUGACCAUGUAUCUCCAAUCCCUUUGAAACCACAGAAGAUAAUGUGUUUUAUAAAACGUACAGCUCAACAUCUAAGGUUCAACCAAUAAAACCUGAGGAGUCAUCUACUCCGGUCCAGUGUGUCGAUGACCCUACUGGUUUGACUGGAGUCGUGGUGUUUGGAGAGAGAACAUAUCCAUUACCUAAUCCUCUGAUUGGGAACAAUCAGCAGAAUCA